ensembl:lncRNA MAP3K9-DT MAP3K9 divergent transcript
GGCUCCGGCCUCAUUGGGUGCGUGAGAAGGGAAGGGUGGAUCCUAAAAGGUAAUACUGAGCCUUCAUUCAAACUAAAAGGCUGGAAGGGAGGCAGCUGCCUUUGUUUGCCAUGGAUGGGUAGGGGCUGCACUGAGCAGCACCGGUGUUCUUCAUCCGGCUGCACCCCCAACAGAGCUCUUUCUUCCCCAGAUCCCUUUUACAGUUGGAUUCUCCCUCUUGGAUCUGGCUCUGCCUUAGUCCGACCUAGAGGGAUCAGCUUCGCCCACGCCCACUCUCACCCGGAACCUUUCAUCUCUUAUUGAAGCCUUUUAGGCCCAUUGGGAUGUUCAUUAGAACUCUGAAAACUACAGUUCUCCCCUUUAUGAGGACUGCACCACAGCUCGCCCUCUCCUGGGUUCCGGUAAGAAGAGAUUCCAAUACCACUCUUUUUUCAGAAUUCAGAAAGGCAAGAGACCACCUUACUGAGCUUCAAACUGGGGCUGGGAACGCUGCCAUGAAUUGGGCUUGGUCUGUCUGAAGGGAGCCACCUUUUCGACAAUCCUUAGACUUCUUUUGCCUGUUGGAAUUACACCUUGGAUCGUGGCGAAGUCUAUAGAGGUCAGAUUAAGAAGAACCAAAGCAGAAUAAACGUAGAACCCGAUGCUGAGUUCACGAGUGAGGACGACCUCUUCCUAUAUGCUUUGCUAUACCCUGCGUUUUGAACAUUAAGGACGAGAUAGGAGGCCCAUAAUGUUUCUUCUUGCUUUAAUCCUGUCGUGGCAACGUUGACUUCCACCUGGUUGCAGAGUGAGCCCAUGGGACAGCCCUCUGAAAUUAUACUGCUUACAACCAUGCUGAGUCUGCAAGGACUUCGUCCAAGCCUUUCCGUCCAGGACCUCAAACAGAUCCAAUCACAAGAAGAGAGAUUUCAGGAAAGAGAAAAUUAUUCCUAUCAUCGGGGUUUUUGAAGAACAUGAAAUGACUGGGAAAAUAAUCAUGUUAAGUGGAAAAAAAAAAGAAAUCUAUCUGUUGUAAUUUUCAAAUAAUUUUUAAAUAAAUUUGAAAAAUUAAGAGAACUAUAUAUAUAAUACAUUCCUAAUCUUGUGAAAAAUAUAUAUGCAUUAAUAUUAUUGAAAGAAAUAUAUCAAAAGGUGAACAGCAAUUAUCACCAAUCUAGAUUAUGAGAUUAGGAGUGAUUUUUUUUCUUUGUCCUAUACUAUUUAAUAUUUUCUACCAUUAAAAUAUUCUGAUUUUCUAAUUAGAAUAGUACGUUAGACAAAGAAGGACAAAUAUCACAUGAACUCUCACUCUCUUAUGGAACAGAUCUUGUGGAAUCUAAAAAAGUUGAACUCAUAGAAAAAGAGGAAAAUGAUGGUUACCAGUUAGAAAAAAGGAAUAAGUUCAAGAGAUCUAUUGUACACCAUGGUCAAUAUAGUUAACAAUAUAUUUUAUACUUUAAAAUUGCUAAGGUAGUAGAUUUUAAGUGUUCUCACCACACAAAAAAAUAAGUAUGUGAAAAGCAUAUGGUAAUUAGCUUGAUUUAACCACGCCACAGUGCAUACAUAUGUCAAAACAUCAUGUUGUAUACUAUAAAUAUAUACACUUUUUGUCAAUUUUAAACAGGUUAUAAAAAAACAUGUUAUUGUUGAUAAUUAUGAAAAAUUUUAAUGAUGUGGAAA